UACGAAGGGGGCUAGCGUUGCUCGGAAUCACUGGGCGUAAAGCGCACGUAGGCGGAUCUUUAAGUCAGGGGUGAAAUCCCAAGGCUCAACCUUGGAACUGCCUUUGAUACUGGGGAUCUCGAGUCCGGAAGAGGUUGGUGGAACUGCGAGUGUAGAGGUGAAAUUCGUAGAUAUUCGCAAGAACACCAGUGGCGAAGGCGGCCAACUGGUCCGGAACUGACGCUGAGGUGCGAAAGCGAUGGGGGAGCAAACUAGGG
rnacentral:rRNA from 1 species